GAUUAACAUAAAAAUAAAGAAAAUAUCAAGAAUGGUAAUAAACAGAAAACAUUUUGUUCUCCACAAGGAAAAUAACUAUGAAAAAUUUAUAUGAUUUGAAUGGGAUUUUGGUAAAGAUAGGAGAAGGAGAAGAAAAGAAGAUGAGUUUAUUGCUAGAAAGAACAAAGGUUGAUUAAAGAGACCUGGAAAUUGGAAUUUGAGUGAGGAGGAGAUGAGGGUAAAGGUAGGGUUUUUAUACCCUUGUUUGGAAUGUAAAAUUUU
rnacentral:misc_RNA from 1 species